AGUUUCAUCAAUGUAGCAGAUUUUGACGUUGUAUCUACAGAAUGGGAAGUUGAGAGUGAUGAUGAAAGUGAGGAAGAAUCUGAAUGUGGGUUAACAACUUUGGUUGACAUGCCUCUUAACAGUUUUCCAUCUACAGUUUCUAAAGAAACUUUUGAACUCAAGAUCAAGGCUGCGGCAAAGAGGAUCUAUGUUGAUGUUGGUAUGCUCUUAGAACUAUAUAUGAGAAAUCUCAUAUUUUAAUCACUUGUUUUAAUCAUGGUAAGGCUGUGCUG